rnacentral:rRNA from 1 species
UACGUAGGGUGCGAGCGUUGUCCGGAUUUAUUGGGCGUAAAGAGCUCGUAGGCGGCCUGUCGCGUCGGCUGUGAAAACUCAGGGCUCAACCCUGAGCCUGCAGUCGAUACGGGCAGGCUAGAGUCCGGCAGGGGAGACUGGAAUUCCUGGUGUAGCGGUGAAAUGCGCAGAUAUCAGGAGGAACACCGGUGGCGAAGGCGGCGACCUGGUCCUUGACUGACGCUGAGGCGCGAAAGCGUGGGGAGCGAACAGG